rnacentral:rRNA from 1 species
GACGAACGCUGGCGGCGUGCUUAACACAUGCAAGUCGAACGGAAAGGCCCUGCUUUUGUGGGGUGCUCGAGUGGCGAACGGGUGUGUAACACGUGAGUAACCUGCCCUUGACUUUGGGAUAUCUUCAGGAAACUGGGGCUAAUACCGGAUAGGAGCUCCUGCUGCAUGGUGGGGGUUGGAAAGUUUCGGCGGUUGGGGAUGGACUCGCGGCUUAUCAGCUUGUUGGUGGGGUAGUGGCUUACCAAGGCUUUGACGGGUAGCCGGCCUGGGAGGGUGACCGGCCACAUUGGGACUGAGAUACGGCCCAGACGCCUACGGGAGGCAGCAGUGGGAAAUAUUGCACAAUGGGCGGAAGCCUGAUGCAGCAACGCUGCGUGCGGGAUGACGGCCUUCGGGGUGUAAACCGCUUUCGCCUGUGACGAAGCGUGAGUGACGGUAAUGGGUAAAGAAGCACCGGCUAACUACGUG